UACGGAGGGGGCUAGCGUUGUUCGGAAUUACUGGGCGUAAAGCGCACGUAGGCGGCGAUUUAAGUCAGAGGUGAAAGCCCGGGGCUCAACCCCGGAACUGCCUUUGAGACUGGAUUGCUAGAAUCUUGGAGAGGCGAGUGGAAUUCCGAGUGUAGAGGUGAAAUUCGUAGAUAUUCGGAAGAACACCAGUGGCGAAGGCGGCUCGCUGGACAAGUAUUGACGCUGAGGUGCGAAAGCGUGGGGAGCAAACAGG
rnacentral:rRNA from 1 species